AGCUGCAGUCGAGAUCUUUCGCAUGGGCGAAGCCUGACGAAGCGACGCUGCGUGAGUGAUGAAGGCUUUCGGGUUGUAAAACUCUUUCGCGCAAGAGCAAAGUGAAUUAGUGAACAACUGAUUCAUGUGAGAGUACUGCGUAAAGAAGCACCGGCUAACUCC
rnacentral:rRNA from 1 species